AGCUCAUCAACACUUUUAUCCUUCAAAAGGGCAAUAACUCCAGCUGCUUCAGAAGGUGACACAUGUGAAGGAGACUGUGGUCGAUCUGUAGGUCGUUGCAAACCGUAGCUACUACUUGGUGUUACAGGGCGAGAGGAAUUAGGGGAGCUCGCUACAGAUGGAGGGUACCAAGAUUGUGAAGCAGCAUCUUGUGGAUGUGGCUGAGCUUGCUGCUCCUGAGAACCCCAGAACUUGAACAUAGCUUGAAAGGAGUCCUUCAUCGGUCCGAUUAAGCAAUUGAAACAAGAAAUCGGAACCGUAGAAUUGAUAAAAAGGCUUUGUUCAAAGCAAACAAAAGUAAGGAAACGAGAGGAUCUCUCUGUGCUCU
rnacentral:misc_RNA from 1 species